rnacentral:misc_RNA from 1 species
GGUGCAAAUGAAUGUCUGCAUGCACACCUUGCACUGGAUAUUCAUAGCCUUCUUGUUAGCCUCAAGCUGGCUUCCCUUUUGGCCUUUCAUCUUUUCCAUAUUCUUCUCACGAGCCAUCUUUGCCUUCUGUCCAUUGCCUCCACCCAUGGCUUAGUUUGUUCUUCGAUAUUUCCUGUACAAAUUGGAGGAAAAAAUUGGGUUUU